ACAUUGCCAGAUGUGUUCACCCUGUUGUCGCCAUAACGAGUUUGUUGUUGUUGAUAAAAAUAAAAUGUACAAAGGUUAAGCUGGAGAUGAUUCGAAAACGCCAGGUGUCUUAGCAGAGAUGUUCACUGGUAGACAGUUCCAUUGUUUUGUUCUGGUCGUGGCAGAGAAGUUGGUUAUCUGGUAGAUAGUUUCAUGUUGUGUAGAGGCGAUGGCAGUGAUGUAGCCAAAAAGAUAAAAACAAAGAUGUGUGUGCCAUUUGAUGAUAAUACAGCUGAGUCUGUGUACA